rnacentral:tRNA from 1 species
UCUAAUAUGGCAGAAUAACUAUGCAAUGAACUUAAAAUUCAUUUAUAAAGAAUAAUCUUUUUUUAGAA